CCAAGAAAAUUUGACACUCAAGCUAGAAAACGUCAAACGUAAACCACCAACUAGACUUCCGUUCAAAGUGUGCUCAGUUGUGCAAGCUGUAAGAACAGCAAAAAAGUAAGCUGCUGCUAAAUUUGUUUGCCCCUGUCGUUGGGAAACACGGCCACGGUUUUUGGAACGGCAAAACAUCACCAGCAGCAACUUGCGCACACGCUUUUCAGAAAAAGCAAAAAGCACCAGCAGCAACUUUGUGCACACGCUAAAGAAAAUCACCGUUGGGAAAUACGGCCACGGUCUUCUAGAACGGCAACACAGCAGAAGCAGCAAAUUUGCGCACACGCUAAACCAAACGGAAAGCCACGCUAAACAAGAAACCGGACCAGACCAUCAGACCAUAAAAGAACCCCUCUGAAAAGGGGUUCUUGUUACUUGAUUCGGAUCUUGAUUCUUGCAUUCUUGAAUCUUGGUUCUUGUUUCGGGUCCCUCGGUCCUUGUUCUUGUUUCUUCUUUUCAUCUAGCUUGAGCUCAUCACAGCACGAAAGGCGGAUAACGAUUCGGAUUCACACAUCCCGAAUAUUCGACAACUCGAAGGACGUCCGGUUCAUCGCGUUUGCUAACGUGAUUUUGGAGCUGAAAGACGGUGGGCACGAUCGAAUUGCUAUUGUGUUGCUCAUCCAGGAGGUUUUGCGACUACGGGGUGCGGUGCACCGAUCAGCUGAAGUGACGCCAAAUCGAGAGCAGCCGGGAAAUCAUCCGGGAAUCGGUGUCAAUCGCCGAAUCACGGAAUUUUGCAACCCGAAUCGUCAAACAUCAUCAGUGGUGACAUCUGGUGACAGGAAUUGGAAGCGAACAAGACGAAGGAGUCUGCGACAGCGAAAAGCAGUCGUUUUUUUCCGUGAGCCACCGGGGUGUGUCAGCCAGCUACUGGAGGCGCAUUUCUCGAUGGCGAACGUGAACAUUGGUCCAAAGAUGACGGGAGCACUCGCCGAGGGAUUGGAAGAAUUAGCAAGGACGUACAAUCCAUCGAGAGAAGCAGUGCGGAAAUUGAAUGUAAGUCAAAAAUCAUAAAUUUGCUUUCUCACAACUAUAUGAUCUCUCGACCAUGAGCCGAUUAGGCAAAAUUAAAAAAUUUUUAACGCAAUGUUUUAAAUGAACAUGAUAAAUUUUGCUUUUGUAAUAUUAUUUGAAAACAAUACUAUUUGUCCUUGGCAACCUUUAAGAGCUAGCCG